CUCAUUGGGUGCGUGAGAAGGGAAGGGUGGAUCCUAAAAGGUAAUACUGAGCCUUCAUUCAAACUAAAAGGCUGGAAGGGAGGCAGCUGCCUUUGUUUGCCAUGGAUGGGUAGGGGCUGCACUGAGCAGCACCGGUGUUCUUCAUCCGGCUGCACCCCCAACAGAGCUCUUUCUUCCCCAGAUCCCUUUUACAGUUGGAUUCUCCCUCUUGGAUCUGGCUCUGCCUUAGUCCGACCUAGAGGGAUCAGCUUCGCCCACGCCCACUCUCACCCGGAACCUUUCAUCUCUUAUUGAAGCCUUUUAGGCCCAUUGGGAUGUUCAUUAGAACUCUGAAAACUACAGUUCUCCCCUUUAUGAGGACUGCACCACAGCUCGCCCUCUCCUGGGUUCCGGUAAGAAGAGAUUCCAAUACCACUCUUUUUUCAGAAUUCAGAAAGGCAAGAGACCACCUUACUGAGCUUCAAACUGGGGCUGGGAACGCUGCCAUGAAUUGGGCUUGGUCUGUCUGAAGGGAGCCACCUUUUCGACAAUCCUUAGACUUCUUUUGCCUGUUGGAAUUACACCUUGGAUCGUGGCGAAGUCUAUAGAGGUCAGAUUAAGAAGAACCAAAGCAGAAUAAACGUAGAACCCGAUGCUGAGUUCACGAGUGAGGACGACCUCUUCCUAUAUGCUUUGCUAUACCCUGCGUUUUGAACAUUAAGGACGAGAUAGGAGGCCCAUAAUGUUUCUUCUUGCUUUAAUCCUGUCGUGGCAACGUUGACUUCCAGUAAGAAAGCCUGGUUGCAGAGUGAGCCCAUGGGACAGCCCUCUGAAAUUAUACUGCUUACAACCAUGCUGAGUCUGCAAGGACUUCGUCCAAGCCUUUCCGUCCAGGACCUCAAACAGAUCCAAUCACAAGAAGAGAGAUUUCAGGAAAGAGAAAAUUAUUCCUAUCAUCGGGGUUUUUGAAGAACAUGAAAUGACUGGGAAAAUAAUCAUGUUAAGUGGAAAAAAAAAAGAAAUCUAUCUGUUGUAAUUUUCAAAUAAUUUUUAAAUAAAUUUGAAAAAUUAAGAGAACUAUAUAUAUAAUACAUUCCUAAUCUUGUGAAAAAUAUAUAUGCAUUAAUAUUAUUGAAAGAAAUAUAUCAAAAGGUGAACAGCAAUUAUCACCAAUCUAGAUUAUGAGAUUAGGAGUGAUUUUUUUUCUUUGUCCUAUACUAUUUAAUAUUUUCUACCAUUAAAAUAUUCUGAUUUUCUAAUUAGAAUAGUACGUUAGACAAAGAAGGACAAAUAUCACAUGAACUCUCACUCUCUUAUGGAACAGAUCUUGUGGAAUCUAAAAAAGUUGAACUCAUAGAAAAAGAGGAAAAUGAUGGUUACCAGUUAGAAAAAAGGAAUAAGUUCAAGAGAUCUAUUGUACACCAUGGUCAAUAUAGUUAACAAUAUAUUUUAUACUUUAAAAUUGCUAAGGUAGUAGAUUUUAAGUGUUCUCACCACACAAAAAAAUAAGUAUGUGAAAAGCAUAUGGUAAUUAGCUUGAUUUAACCACGCCACAGUGCAUACAUAUGUCAAAACAUCAUGUUGUAUACUAUAAAUAUAUACACUUUUUGUCAAUUUUAAACAGGUUAUAAAAAAACAUGUUAUUGUUGAUAAUUAUGAAAAAUUUUAAUGAUGUGGAAAUGUGUACAGUAUAAUGAUAAAUGAAAGAGUAGUAAAAAUCCUUAUAAAAUAUAA
rnacentral:lncRNA from 1 species